UGGCUCAGGAUGAACGCUAGCGGCAGGCCUAAUACAUGCAAGCUGAACGGUAAAUGUUGUAGCAAUACAAUAUGAGAGUAGCGUAAGGGUGCGUAACACGUAUGCAAUUUGCCCGUAACUGAGGAAUAGCUCCCCGAAAGGGGAAUUAAUACCUCAUAAUAUCCCAGGAUGGCAUCAGAGAGGGAUUAAAGCUUCGGCGGUUACGGAUGAGCAUGCGCCUGAUUAGUUAGUUGGUGAGGUAACGGCUCACCAAGACGAUGAUCAGUAGGGGAACUGAGAGGUUGAUCCCCCACACUGGCACUGAGAUACGGGCCAGACUCCUACGGGAGGCAGCAGUAGGGAAUAUUGGUCAAUGGGUGAGAGCCUGAACCAGCCAUGCCGCGUGCAGGAAGACGGCCUUCUGGGUUGUAAACUGCUUUUGUCAGGGGAUAAAAUACCCGUGCGCGGGGAAUUGAAGGUACCUGGUGAAUAAGCCACGGCUAACUACGUGCCAGCAGCCGCGGUAAUACGUAGGUGGCAAGCGUUGUCCGGAUUUAUUGGGUUUAAAGGGUGCGUAGGCGGUCCUAUAAGUCAGUGGUGAAAUACGGCAGCUCAACUGUCGAGGUGCCAUUGAUACUGCAGGACUAGAGUACUGUUGAGGUAGGCGGAAUGGACGGUGUAGCGGUGAAAUGCUUAGAUAUCGUCCAGAACACCGAUAGCGAAGGCAGCUUACUAAAGAGUAAC
rnacentral:rRNA from 1 species